UGACUCCACAAAGAGAAGCAUGCUGACGGUACCUCAAAGAAUGCCUUAAGAAAAAAAAGCAAUGGGAAUUUAGUUCUAGGAUGCAAAAAACACUGCCUCACGUAUGCUUUCAACUACGGAUCAGUAGAGAGCUCCUAAAAUUAAGUGAGCAGAAAUAUGAAAGCUGAGCACAACAGAAGAAACAGCAUCGCAUGGCACUUGGAUAAGCAGGAGGAUAAACAGAUGCCUACCACUCCACGGAAUGUGCUGGUGACAUAUUUCAUAUUCCCCUAGGUGCAUAUAGACAACAAGGAUGAUAUGUGAGCCUCUCUCUUUUUAAGUGGAAAAAUUCAGAUGUAUCAGACAAAUGAAAACCUUUAAAAAAUUGCUUAUUUAACCACAGGAACAACUUACCUCAGCUGUGGUGUGUUCCUCACUGCUGGAAAACUUUAAGUGAAAAGUAGAUACUUUUUGUGAAAGGAAAACCUCCAAUUCAAGCCCUGCUACUGAAUAUGAAUUUGGAAUCAUUUUAGAAAAGAAAACAAAACUU